rnacentral:rRNA from 1 species
GAAUCGCUAGUAAUCGCGGAUCAGCAUGCCGCGGUGAAUACGUUCCCGGGCCUUGUACACACCGCCCGGGAAUCGCUAGUAAUCGCGGAUCAGCAUGCCGCGGUGAAUACGUUCCCGGGCCUUGUACACACCGCCCGUCACACCACGAGAGUUUGUAACACCCGAAGUCGGUGAGGUAACCUUUUGGAGCCAGCCGCCGAAGGUGGGACAGAUGAUUGGGGUGAAGUCGUAACAAGGUAGCCGUAUCGGAAGGUGCGGCUGGAUCACCUCCUUU